rnacentral:lncRNA from 1 species
AGUUGUCGGAUGUAGUGUAGUUUGAUUAAGAAUUAAGAAUUAUUAAACUAAGAAAAGCACGCUGUAUCGACCGUUCCUAGUGUAAGUGGCAAAGAACUUGGUGGUUGGUACUCCAGGUUUCAAAUUUGAAUCCUAAUUGAUUUAUAUUUCCAGCUAAAUUUAUUUUUUUUUAAAAAUAAACGAAACAGAUAGUAUGCUACUUUUCUCUAAAAAAAAAAGGAAAAAAAAAGGACAGUGUGCAAUGAAGUAUCUCCGAUUAACUUCAUUUGUAUCAAAUUAUGUGGAGUUUCUACUUUAAUGGUUUAGAAUUACAAACUCUUUUCUAGUUUCCACCACGAAAUUUUUUUUUCCAUCUUUUAUUUUUUCAUUUUGUUAUUUUUCAGACACUCUAUCAGAGUUUGCGUAAGGGAUUCUAUGGUAGAUAAGUAGAAGAGAUGAAAUUCGGUAAACAUGUCACAUUGUUAAGCUCAUGUGAGAUUGGACUGAAUCGAAACUUAGUUAAUAUGUGUUUUUUUCCAACUGAAUAAAUGUAAAAAUAUUUAAACACCAUUUUUUGCAAGCUUAAUUAAAGAAUAAUGAUUGUUUCGUAUUAUUUAACGUGAUAUCAGAGUAAGAGGUCUCGAAUUCGAGUCACUUCAGAUUCCUAGCAUUAUUAAUUUUUUCAUAUUUUCAUUUUUUAUAAGCGUAAGAUUUUAGAAAAUGACAAUUAUUUUCGUAUUAUUUAAUAGAAGAAGAUGGUAGUCCA